rnacentral:rRNA from 1 species
CAAUAGCGUAUAUUAAAGUUGUUGCAGUUAGAACGCUCGUAGUCGGAUUUCGGGGCGGGGCGACCGGUCUGCCGAUGGGUAUGCACUGGUCGGCGCGUCCUUCCUUCCGGAGACCGUUCCUACUCUUAACUGAGCGGGGGCGGGAGACGGAUCGUUUACUUUGAAAAAAUCAGAGUGUUUCAAGCAGGCAGCUCGCUCUUGCAUGGAUUAGCAUGGGAUAAUGAAAUAGGACUUUGGUGCUAUUUUGUUGGUUUCGAACACCGAAGUAAUGAUUAAAAGGGACAGUCAGGGGCACUCGUAUUCCGCCGAGAGAGGUGAAAUUCUCAGACCAGCGGAAGACGAACCACUGCGAAAGCAUUUGCCAGGGAUGUUUNCACUG